rnacentral:rRNA from 1 species
UACGUAGGGUGCGAGCGUUGUCCGGAAUUAUUGGGCGUAAAGAGCUCGUAGGCGGUCUGUCGCGUCGGAUGUGAAAACUCGGGGCUCAACCCCGAGCCUGCAUUCGAUACGGGCAGACUAGAGUGCGGUAGGGGAGACUGGAAUUCCUGGUGUAGCGGUGAAAUGCGUAGAGAUCGGGCGGAACACCAGCGGCGAAGGCGGGUCUCUGGACAGUUCCUGACGCUGAGGCACGAAGGUCAGGGGAGCAAACGGG